UGGGGAAUCUUGCGCAAUGGGGGAAACCCUGACGCAGCGACGCCGCGUGGAGGAUGAAGGUCUUCGGGUUGUAAACUCCUUUUCUUGGGGAAAAUGAUGAUGGUACUCAAGGGAUAAGCCACGGCUAACUCUGUGCCAGCAGCCGCGGUAAGACAGAGGUGGCGAGCGUUGUUCGGAAUUACUGGGCUUAAAGGGCGAGUAGGCGGUAGGGCAAGUCUGAGGUGGAAUCCUAUGGCUUAACCAUAGGACUGCCUUAGAAACUGCUUUACUUGAGUCAGUGAGGGGAGGGCGGAAUUCCUGGUGUAGCGGUGAAAUGCGUAGAUAUCAGGAGGAAGGCCUGUGGCGAAAGCGGCCCUCUGGCACUGUACUGACGCUGAGGCGCGAAAGCAUGGGGAGCAAACAGGAUUAGAUACCCUGGUAGUCCACGCCCUAAACGGUGGGCAUUAGGUGUAGGGCUCGUAAGGGUUCUGUGCCGAAGGGAAACCAUUAAAUGCCCCGCCUGGGGAGUACGGCCGCAAGGUUG
rnacentral:rRNA from 1 species